rnacentral:rRNA from 1 species
CCUACGGGAGGCAGCAGUAGGGAAUCUUAGAAAUGGGGGCAACCCUGAUCUAGCCAUGCCGCGUGUGUGAUGAAGGCCCUAGGGUCGUAAAGCACUUUCGCCAGAGAUGAUAAUGACAGUAUCUGGUAAAGAAACCCCGGCUAACUCCGUGCCAGCAGCCGCGGUAAU